AUGGUGGAGGGCUCUGAGGAUGACAUUGCCAAUCUUAAGUUCCUCCUCCUAUGCUUCCAGCAGAUGUCUGGGCUUAAAAUCAACUUCGACAAGAGUGAAGUUAUGAUCCUUGGGUAUUCUCCUGAGGAGGCUCAGCUCAUUGCGGACCGCCUCAACUGCCAGCUUGGAUCCUUCCCAACUUACCUGGGGGUUCCCAUUAGUGAUUUGCGACUCUUCGUCGCGGAUCUGCGGCCUACGGUGACCAAACUCCAACACCGGAUCGAGCCGUGGCAGGGAAGAUGGUUGUCCAAGGCAGCGAGGACCAUGCUCAUCAACUCCUCGCUAUCCAGCCUCCUCUUGUUCCUGGUGAGCUUUUAUAGUCCCCAUGAGACCCUUCAUCACGAGAUUGCCAAGUACCAGUCUAGAUUCUACUGGGCAGGCGAGGGCGACAAGCAGAAAUACCAUAUGGUCAGCUGGCCUGACAUCUGCAAGCCCCGUGACCAGGGUGGUCUGGGGAUCAUGUUAUCCAAACGCAUGAACAUCGCCUUGCUGACCAGAUGGCUCUAG
rnacentral:rRNA from 1 species